CUGUUUUGUAGUUAUUUUGUGUCUCUUUGUAGUCAUGUCUCUGUGUGUAUUUUUUUUGUCAUUUUGUAGAUGUUAAUGUCUUAUUGAGUUACAUUUUCAUCUCAUUGAGAUAAUUUUGUCUUUUUUGGUUGUUUUGUGUGGCUUUGUGGUAGCUUUAUUUGUCCUUUUAAUUGUUUUGUGUCCCCUUGGGAUUGUUUUGUCUCUCCUUGAAGUUGUUUUGGGUCUCACUGUAGUCAUCUUGUGUCUCUGUGUGAUUGUUUUGCCAGUUUUCCAGUUAUUUGGUGUCUCUUCGCAGUUCCUUUGCAUCCCUGUUAUCCUUUUAUGUUUCUCUGUAUUAAUUUGUGUUUCCUUGUGUUUGUUUUUUGUCCCUUUGUGGUUCCUUUGUGUCUUUUUGUAGAUGUUUGUCUUAUUGACUGAAUUUUGUGUCUUGUUAAGAUAGUUUUGUGUCUUUUUGGUUGUUUUGUGAGGCUUUGUCGUCGAUUUGUGUCUCUUUGUGUUCAUUUUGAUUCUCCUCCUGGGGUCCGUUUCACAAAAGUAGGAUUCAGACAUCCAGGAUAAAUGACUGAGCUGGGUUCAACGAAUCCAAAACAAGAACGUCCAGGCUUAAUUGGUCAAGCCAGGAUGAGCAGACACGGAUUCAUCAAGCCAGGUGAAACCAAUCCUGGAUCAGUGCGCGCACGCGGCUUCCUCAAAUAGACCCCGCCAUCGAUCACAGAUUCACCGAUUCACCAUGGCAACGAGAGCAGCGUACUUUACCCCGUCGGAGGCAGAAAUCCUCAUGGAGGCUUACGAAGAGGUAAAGGAUCAAAUCAUAAAGAAAGGCAACACCGCCACAGUAAUAAAACAACGAGAGAAAGCGUGGCAAAGUUGCAGGCGGCCUGAAUGCAUGGUCUGCGAUGCUGACUAUCUGAUCAGCAAUGUUGUGGCAAAGUGGCCCGGCCCAGUCCAUGACUCCUGAGUCUUUCGGACCUCUGGAAUCUAUCAGUGCCUAUCACAAGGUGAAUUCUCUGGUGUGUUGCUGGGGGACAGGGGGUAUGCCUGCCAGCCUUUUCUCCUCACACCAUACAUAGACCCUCAGGAAGCACAGCAGGCCCAUAAUCAUGCCCAUGCCAGGACAAGGGCCAGGAUCGAAAUGACCUUUGGCCUCCUGAAGGCACGCUUUCACUGUCUUAACCACUUAAGGGUCAGCCCUUUAAGGGUAUGUGACAUCACUAUGGCCUGUGCUGUCCUCCACAAUGUGGCCUGCCUGAGGAAGGAGAGGGCCCCCAGAGUGCCAUCACACAUGGACUGGGACAAUCCUGCCAUCUUCCCUGAUGACGACAGUGGUCGGCUGGUCAGGGACCAAUAUGUGUUAAAUUAUUUUAGUUAACAUGCAUGCAUUAAAUUUAAGUUAAAUAUGUCCUGCAGUGGCAGAGACGCAUGCUGUGAAUUUCAGUUAAAUAUGGCCUGCAUUGGCAGAGGAAUUUGUUUUUUUUUAUUCAAUUUAAAUUGAUUUGGCCUCUUAUGUUGUUUGUGCUGUAUACUGUGUGUAUACAAGCUUGCAGGGAGGCUACUGCAUCCAUUCAUUUGUCUGUUCAUUUGUUGUGUAUGGAUUUGUCCUGCAUUUAUUUCAGUGUGCAGACAUGCGGGGUGUAUCAUAUACAGACCUUUGAAUGUGUAUUUAUUCUUGUGUUGUAUAAUAUGCUUUGAUUCCGUGCUUUCUAUCUUGUAGAGUCACUGUGUGACUUCAGUUUUGAAAGGAGCUCAUGGUUUACUUGCUUUGAUUUAUCCUUAUUCAAUAAAGGAACAUCAUGUUA